rnacentral:lncRNA from 1 species
AUGGGGUAUUUUUAUAAGUCCCAAGUCAAUUCAUCGAAAACAGAUUUCUUCAUGGAUCUUCAGAAUUUCCUUAUUCGUGCUCGAGUAUUCAAGCUUUACAGACAAGCUUUGAGAGUUGCCGGUCGAGCACCCCCUCCUGCUAGAGGUGAACUGAGACAAAUGAUUAGACAAGAGAUGGAGAAUAAUCGAAACUGCAAUGACAAGCAAAGGAUCCGUUACUUGAUUAGUGAAGGCUUGGAAAAAUUGAAACGCCUCGAUGAAAUGCUUGAUAUGCAAGGUCAUUAG